rnacentral:rRNA from 1 species
AUGAAGAAAAUGAUUUCUCCCGGCCGGAUCCGUGGACAAGGACCUCGCCCUGGACAGAUCCGGUGUUCCGCAAACUCGAGGGGAUCCGGUCGCCGGAGUGGAAGAGGACGCGGGAUCCGGGUGAUUUGGCUGUCGGAGUGGAAGAGGGCGAGCGCUCGGGCCGGCGCUUCGGUCGCAGGAGCCGAGGGAGGGUGGGGCUGCACCCGGUCUCCUGGCCACGGCUGA